rnacentral:rRNA from 1 species
CACCGCGGUUAAACGGGAGACCCAAGUUGAUAGACAACGGCGUAAAGCGUGGUUAAGAUACUCAUUAAAUAGGGCCGAAUAAUCUCAAAACAGUCAAAUCUAUUCGAGAUCACGAAGCACAUCCACGAAGGUGACCCUAAUACUUCUGAUCCCACGAAAGCCAUAACA